rnacentral:rRNA from 1 species
CUACGGGAUGCUCCAGUGGGGAAUAUUGGGCAAUGGGCGCAAGCCUGACCCAGCAACGCCGCGUGAGGGAAGAAGGUUUUCGGAUUGUAAACCUCUGUCCUUGGGGACGAAGAAGUGACGGUACCCAAGGAGGAAGCUCCGGCUAACUACGUGCCAGCAGCCGCGGUAAUACGUAGGGAGCAAGCGUUGUCCGGAAUUACUGGGCGUAAAGGGUGGCGUAGGCGGCAUAUUAAGUCAGGUGUGAAAUACUCGGGCUCAACCCGGGGGCUGCAUUUGAAACUGAUAUGCUUGAGUGUGAGAGAGGAAAGUGGAAUUCCUAGUGUAGCGGUGGAAUGCGUAGAUAUUAGGAGGAACACCAGUGGCGAAGGCGACUUUCUGGCUCAUAACUGACGCUGAGGCACGAAAGCGUGGGGAGCAAACAGGAUUAGAUACCCCCGUAGUC